CCUACGGGCGGCAGCAGUGGGGAAUAUUGCACAAUGGGGGAAACCCUGAUGCAGCGACGCCGCGUGAGUGAAGACGUAAUUCGUUAUGUAAAGCUCUUUCAGCAGGGAAGAAAAUGACGGUACGUGAGUAAGAAGCCCGGGCUAACUACGUUCCAGCAGCGGCGGUAAUACGGAGGGGGCAAGCGUGAUCCGGAUUUACUGGGUGUAAGGGGAGCGUAGUCGGCAGUGCAAGUCUGGAGUGAAAGGCGGGGGCUCAACCCCCGGACUGCUCUGGAAACUGUACGGCUGGAGUGCAGGAGAGGUAAGCGGAAUUCGUGGUGUAGCGGUGAAAUGCGUAGAUAUUAGGAGGAACACCAGUGGCGAAGGCAGCUUACUGGAGUGUAACUGACGUUGAGGCUCGAAAGCGUGGGGAGCAAACAGGAUUAGAUACCCCUGUAGUC
rnacentral:rRNA from 1 species